GUUUAAUGCGGCCGUCUCCAAGGCAACUCAAAAAGAUCCAAGUCCUUUUUCUAUUGGUGUCUUCUUCAAGAUAAUCAAAAUCUUCUUUGGCAGCAAAUAGAAAAACUAACACAGCUAUGGCUGAUCAUCAGAGUACUAAUCAUUAACUACUCAACAAUGGGACCAUGCAAGUUGCUUCAACGUCCUUUAUCAAAUAACAGGUAGUCAUAUUCAAGAGACCUUACGAUUCGUUCAAUUAGGUUUCUUAGUUAUAAUUGUAAAUAUAUUUUGCAUGUAAAGGGGAUAUUUUGACGAAGAAUAUGCAAAUAGAUCGAAAAAGGAAAAUAGGUAUUAUGCUGGCUAUUGCAAAUAAUUGAUAGUGUUUCAGCUGUUGGAGACAUCUGUAUUGUGACCAACAUACUAAAGGUUUGUAUCGGUCCCCAUUUUCAUCGAUACAUUUAAGGUGUGUUUACGAAAUUUCUCAAUAAUCAUAGAAACUGUGUUGGUACAACUCAUUAUGGGGAUCGAUACAUGUGUAUGGUUGGCUUUUGCACUUUUAAAA